GGUUGUGGCUCAGUGGUAGAGUGCUUGCCUAGUGUGUGUGUGUGGCACUGGGUUCAAUUCUCAACACCA
rnacentral:tRNA from 1 species